CGCCUGGGGAGUACGGCCGCAAGGCUAAAACUCAAAGGAAUUGACGGGGGCCCGCACAAGCGGCGGAGCAUGCUGAUUAAUUCGAUGCAACGCGAAGAACCUUACCAAGGCUUGACAUGACUGGACGGCUGCAGAGAUGUGGCUUUCUUUGGACUGGUGCACAGGUGGUGCAUGGUUGUCGUCAGCUCGUGUCGUGAGAUGUUGGGUUAAGUCCCGCAACGAGCGCAACCCUCGUUCUAUGUUGCCAGCACGUAAUGUGGGGACUCAUAGGAGACUGCCGGGGUCAACUCGGAGGAAGGUGGGGACGACGUCAAAUCAUCAUGCCCCUUAUGUCUUGGGCUUCAAGCAUGCUACAAUGGUCGGUACAAUGGGUUGCGAAACUGUGA
rnacentral:rRNA from 1 species